AUGAUAAAUUUCAUAAAUACAUCUAUUAUAAUGCUACCAUAUAUUUAAAACGGAAAUGUUUGAUACCUGUGGCCCAUGUAAAACCGGGUGAAUUGCUGGAACCCCUAACGUAAAGGCGAGGGCAAUCAGCAGCCAAGCUACAUGAAUUGGUUUAGAAAGUAAUGUAGAAGGUUCAACGACUAGAAAGUGAGGAUACCAUACCAAUAAUCUUUCCAAGAGCGCCCGGCGUGAUGAAGGUCUUGCCAACUGGAGCGAUGAUAUAGUCUGGCCCUUCAAGAAAUUGAAGA
rnacentral:ncRNA from 1 species